CUAUAGCUGAAAAAAUGGUGGACAUGAAGGAAAACAUGGGCUCUUUUCAGAAUGGGAAUACGAACCAAGUUGAAUUGUUCAGUAGGAUCUUCUCUAGCUGCUUUGAUGAACAACUUCAAAACAAGUCCCCUAAGUUUAAAUCAGAUUCGUUAAGAUAGAUGAGCUGCUCAGACGACAACUCCGCAUGCAUACCCCUCCAAAAUAUAUCUAAUCUUAGGAACCGCAAGGACAAGUGUUGUAGAGCUUGCAUAAAGAAGGGAAAAUGCAACCACUGGACUCUAGUUGUGAUGCAAGAAAAGGAACUUUCAGUAAGUCUUCUCUAAACUAGAUUA